UACGAAGGGGGCUAGCGUUGCUCGGAAUCACUGGGCGUAAAGGGUGCGUAGGCGGGGCUUUAAGUCAGGGGUGAAAUCCUGGAGCUCAACUCCAGAACUGCCUUUGAUACUGAGGAUCUUGAGUACGGGAGAGGUGAGUGGAACUGCGAGUGUAGAGGUGAAAUUCGUAGAUAUUCGCAAGAACACCAGUGGCGAAGGCGGCUCACUGGCCCGGUACUGACGCUGAGGUGCGAAAGCGUGGGGAGCGAACAGG
rnacentral:rRNA from 1 species